AGUGAACGCUGGCGGUAGGCCUAACACAUGCAAGUCGAACGGCAGCACAGUAAGAGCUUGCUCUUACGGGUGGCGAGUGGCGGACGGGUGAGGAAUACAUCGGAAUCUACUUUUUCGUGGGGGAUAACGUAGGGAAACUUACGCUAAUACCGCAUACGACCUACGGGUGAAAGCAGGGGAUCUUCGGACCUUGCGCGAUUGAAUGAGCCGAUGUCGGAUUAGCUAGUUGGCGGGGUAAGGGCCCACCAAGGCGACGAUCCGUAGCUGGUCUGAGAGGAUGAUCAGCCACACUGAAACUGAGACACGGUCCAGACUCCUACGGGAGGCAGCAGUGGGAAAUAUUGGAAAAGGGGCGAAAGCCUAUUCCAGCCAUACCGGGUGGGUGAAGAAGGCUUCGGGUUGUAAAGCCCUUUUGUUGGGAAAGAAAAGCAGCAGGUUAAUACCCCGCUGUUCUGACGGUACCCAAAGAAUAAGCACCGGCUAACUUCGUG
rnacentral:rRNA from 1 species